CUCCAUUUGAUACUGGCAGACUAGAGUAUGGUAGAGGGAAGUGGAAUUUCUGGUGUAGCGGUGAAAUGCGUAGAUAUCACAAGGAACACCGAUGGCGAAGGCAGCUUUCUGGACCAAUACUGACGCUGAGGUACGAAAGCGUGGGUAGCGAACAGGAUUAGAUACCCUGGUAGUCCACGCCGUAAACGAUGUCUACUAGCUGUUGGGGGUAUUUACCCUUUAGUGGCGAAGCUAACGCGUUAAGUUGUCCCCCUGGGGAGUACCGCCGCAGGGUUAAAACUCAAAUGA
rnacentral:rRNA from 1 species